rnacentral:rRNA from 1 species
GAUGAACGCUGGCGGCGUGCUUAACACAUGCAAGUCGAACGAUGAAGCUCAGCUUGCUGGGUGGAUUAGUGGCGAACGGGUGAGUAACACGUGAGUAACCUGCCCUUAACUCUGGGAUAAGCCUGGGAAACUAGGUCUAAUACCGGAUAGGAGCGUCCACCGCAUGGUGGGUGUUGGAAAGAUUUAUCGGUUUUGGAUGGACUCGCGGCCUAUCAGCUUGUUGGUGAGGUAAUGGCUCACCAAGGCGACGACGGGUAGCCGGCCUGAGAGGGUGACCGGCCACACUGGGACUGAGACACGGCCCAGACUCCUACGGGAGGCAGCAGUGGGGAAUAUUGCACAAUGGGCGAAAGCCUGAUGCAGCGACGCCGCGUGGGGGAGGACGGCCUUCGGGUUGUAAACCUCUUUCAGUAGGGAAGAAGCGAAAGUGACGGUACCUGCAGAAGAAGCACCGGCUAACUACGU